GACGAACGCUGGCGGCGUGCCUAAUACAUGCAAGUAGAACGCUGAAGAGAGGAGCUUGCUCUUCUUGGAUGAGUUGCGAACGGGCGAGUAACGCGUAGGUAACCUGCCUUGUAGCGGGGGAUAACUAUUGGAAACGAUAGCUAAUACCGCAUAACAAUGGAUGACACAUGUCAUUUAUUUGAAAGUGGCAAUUGCUCCACUACAAGAUGGACCUGCGUUGUAUUAGCUAGUAGGUGAGGUAAUGGCUCACCUAGGCGACGAUACAUAGCCGACCUGAGAGGGUGAGCGGCCACACUGGGACUGAGACACGGCCCAGACUCCUACGGGAGGCAGCAGUAGGGAAUCUUCGGCAAUGGGGGCAACCCUGACCGAGCAACGCCGCGUGAGUGAAGAAGGUUUUCGGAUCGUAAAGCUCUGUUGUAAGUCAAGAACGGGUGUGAGAGUGGAAAGUUCACACUGUGACGGUAGCUUACCAGAAAGGGACGGCUAACUACGUG
rnacentral:rRNA from 1 species